rnacentral:ribozyme from 1 species
ACACCAACAAAGAAAAAGAAGAAAAAAAAGAAAAAGAACAAUGACAAGAAGAGCAACGACAACGGAUUUGU